CAAAUUGCUGUAAAGGAGGGGUAUUAAAUUCAUGGGCACAGGACCCUGCUACGGCAGUAAGCUCUUUUCAAGUUAGUGUAGGUGCUGCUGGAACCUCUAACAAAACAGUUAGAUUGCCAAAGAACUUCACCUUGAAAGCACCAGGGCCUGGAUACACUUGUGGGCCGGCAAAGAUUGUGAGACCGACCAAAUUUAUCUCGAGUGAUAAAAGGAGAUCCACUCAAGCUUUGAGUAAGUUAUAAGCUAAUGUUUCAAACAAUUUAGAGGUUCAUUAACAUAAUUUUUUUUUCUAGACUGGAUUGAAUAACCAACCUGCUAAUCUAAUACGGACAUUUUGAGCCUGUGAUGGUGGUUAAUUGGCACCAGGAAUAUCCUCAUAAAUUAAUUUGCUUGCAUUUGUAUAAUUUAUCUUUCACCAAGAAAUAACUUCAUGUUGUUAUACUGAAAUUUUUAUGGACCAAAGAUUGAAUUAGUGUAAUCAAUACCAAUAUUUACCGUCCUCAGUAUAUGUGUAAUAUGAUUUUCAUUAUGGCCUAACAACUUUCUGGGUUUAUCUAACGUUAGUUGCAUAUCAUGGCAGUGACCUGGAAUGUUACUUGUACAUAUUCACAAUUCCUGGCUCAGAAGACACCCACCUGUUGCGUUUCUUUGUCCUCCUUCUAUAAUGAAACAAUAGUAAGCUGUCCAACUUGUGCUUGUGGAUGUCAAAACAGCACCACAGGAGCUGGGGCUG
rnacentral:lncRNA from 1 species